ACAGAGGAAACGAGAAGAAGGGAAGUUGGAAAACAAUCUUCAAAUUUGUAGUGAAACCGUGUUCGGGAACAUAAUAUUGUUUAUGGGAAGUUGAUUCAAUGAUUGGCGCACAAACUCUCGAGGGUUGUGGUCAAGGGAAACUUCCAUGGAAUCAGAUAAGUAACUAUCUCCCUUUGAUUUUCCGUCUUAUUCCUUUGCUGUGAUUACAUGAAUCACGACUUUUAAUUGCUUAAAUUAAAUAUUGCUUGGAUGAUUGAGUUGCUACAACUCAAAAGUCAAAACCCUGGUAAUUUAUGAUUCAUAUGAUUUACAAAUCCAUUUGAUUGGAUUUUGAAGAGAGGAAUCCUAACGGAAAAUGGAAGUGCCUCUUAUGGAAACUGAAUGUUUCAUUCUAGUAUACAUGAGUAUUCAUGAUGGAGUCAUGAUAAUAACGUCUUAGUGUUUUUUCUUUAUCUAUAAACAUCAUAUAAAGAAAAACAGAGAAUCGCAAGGCCUUGAAGGUCCAGUGAUACAACAAUCCUUUCCGUUCUCUGUUUUAUUCAUCCUCUGUUUUUUAGCCCAAAUUUCCAACAGUUUUCAGCAAUUGGGUUUCGACAAUGGAGGAUUAAACAUACUGUUGUAUGUGAACGGGUUGCAUUAUCGGACUUUAGUUUUACCCAUUCAUCCAGAAGUUGGGUUUUUGUCCAUACACGGAAUACUUUCAGAAGGGAAAACAGACACUUAGAAAUUAUGGGUUGAUGCAGACACUUACCAGGUCUGCAAAAGCGAGCCAAGUUCAAAAGAUUGGACUUGAAGAUUUCCAUUUAGAAAUUAUGGGUUUCAUUGUAACAUGAAAUGGAUAGAGAUGACCUGUCUUUUAUACAUGCUAGAUUUAAUUUGUUAGGGAUGCUAGUGUACUUGAUUUUACAUGGAAGUUUACUUGACCUUAUUAUCGUGCAUUUAUAUAUAUAUAGUGGUCUAUGUGUUUUUUCAGUAAGAGCCAAAUCCAAUGGGAAAAUUGAAAAAAUGAAGAUAAAGAAUGAUCGGUGGAGAAUCUUUCUGACACCAAGAAAUGGUAUCUACAAUUUGCCCCUUUUCUUGAGGGUUUUGUUAAACAAUCCUUGAGAAAAAAUCACUCCUGUCUUAUUCAUCCAUACUUCGGUUGCCAUUUCCUUCAAUUGCUCCUUAUCGUUGGGAUUGGUGCUGAGUUCUGGGUGAACUAUGCUUCGUUUUGCUUUCAUCGCUGUCAUUGGACAUAUCGCCUAUGUUGCCUGGCCUGAGCUAUCCAGGUUGCUAUUGUUAUCAUCGUCGCGCUAUGCACCAUCAUCGUCGUCGCUUGUGAGUCUCAUUUCGGGUAAUCAAAUGAGCAGCGACAUGGGUUAAUGACUCCAGCGGGUGGUAAUAGCUAUGUCCAUCACUUAGAGGCCGCAUCUUGAUAGCAUCAGCCGUGCCUUCAUUCUUACAGCAGAGUUGGGCUUGCCACAGCAACAACAACACAGGUGCGUCUCAACAACAUAAGUGGAUCUUCAUCCAUCAUAUUCCGAGAAUGAGGCGCAGCAUAAGUGGAUCUCAGCAUCAUAGCAAUAUCGCUUUGUUGGCACAUCAGGAUUGUUGACAGCAGCGACAAAAACUUUGGGCAGAAACAUUGCUUUAUUCACAUAACAACUCCGGCGUCGGUCAGGAAACAUCUCUUUUGUUGAUACGUACCAGUAGUUGUUCGUAGCUUCUUGGCCUUGUCUACAUACAACUUUAUUGGUUUGCUUGCCUUCCUCCUUACAGCUCCCACAGUUUUCUUAUGUUCGUCUUCAUGCUCAUGUGGCUCUUUGCUUGAGCCAAGGAUCAUACAUGGGCCUCGUAGGAUUACUUAAAUUUAUCUGGCACAAAAAUGUAAGUGCACGAUAUUUCAUGUAUUAUAAUCAAUAAGGUAAAUUCAUGGUAUAAGUAAUAACAUCAGUGAAUAAAUGUCAACUUCUUUAUGCAGUA